CUUUUUUUUUCUUUUUUUCUCUAUGGUCAUUUUUUUCUUUUUGGCCUUUCUCUUUUUUUCUUUUUUUUUACCUUUUUGUAAAGUCCGAAGCCUCAUCCCGACUUGUGGGGGAAUCAUAGUCUUCAUCAUCCUUUCCUCACUAGGACAAUGCUCUAAUAAUGAAGAUCAUCACACUUUUAUGGAUUUACAACUCAAAGCUAGAACAAGAUAUGACUCUAUAUGAAUGUCUCCGGCGGUGUACCGGGAUAUGCAAUGAAUCAAGAGCGACAUGUAUGAAAAUUAUGAAGGUGACCUUGCCACAAAUACAAUGUCAACUACAUGAUCAUGCAAAAAGCAAUAUGACAAAAGUAAUGCGUGUCAUAUGAACGGAAUGGUGGAAAGUUGCAUGGCAAUAUAUCUCGGAAUGGCUAUGGAAAUGCCAUAAUAGGUAGGUAUGGUGGCUGUUU
rnacentral:lncRNA from 1 species